CGUCUAUAUACGUAUAGCAUAUCAAUAAGCGGAGGAAAAGAAACUAACAUAGGAUUCCCUCAGUAACGGCGAGUGAAGCGGGAAGAGCUCAAAUUUGAAAUCUUCAAGGUUCUACCUUGACGAAUUGUAGUUUAAAGAAGUGUUUUCUGUUAGAUGAGUAGCAAAAGUUCCUUGGAAUGGGACAUCAUAGAGGGUGAGAAUCCCGUAUUUGGUUAUUCAUUCUAGCUUUGUGAUACACUUUCAAAGAGUCGGAUUGUUUGGGAAUGCAGUCCAAAAUGGGUGGUAAAUUUCAUCUAAAGCUAAAUAUUGGCGAGAGACCGAUAGCGAACAAGUACCGUGAGGGAAAGAUGAAAAGGAACUUUGAAAAGAGAGUUAAACAGUACGUGAAAUUGUCAAAAGGGAAGCGUUUGACACCAGUGUUGUUUUCUCGAAAAUCAAUUAAAAAAGACUGGAUUUUGUGUUGUAUUGACUUUAUCAGCUUUCUGCACUUUUUUCUUGUCUUUUUUAAUGCACUUUUCGUUUAACAAGUCAACAUCAAUUUCUUUUGUUGUAAAAGGGUCAUUGGAAGGUGGCUUUCUUUUCGGAGAAAGUGUUUAUAGCCCUUAUGCCUCUACAAUCGGAGAGAUUGAGGUCUGCAGCGUAGAUCCUUCGGGGUUAGAUACAUUUGUGCUAAGUUAUAGCUUUUCAUAGACAACUUGUUGACUAUGUUUAGUCUUGUAGCUUACUCGCUUAUGCUAUUUUACCUACGCUUAGGAUGUUGACUGAUAUGUAGUCGU
rnacentral:rRNA from 1 species